GACGAACGCUGGCGGCGUGCUUAACACAUGCAAGUCGAACGGAAAGGCCCCUUUGGGGGUACUCGAGUGGCGAACGGGUGAGUAACACGUGAGUAACCUGCCCUUGCCUUCGGGAUAACUUCAGGAAACUGGGGCUAAUACCGGAUAGGAAUCCUUGCUGCAUGGUGGGGGUUGGAAAGCUUCGGCGGUUUUGGAUGGACUCGCGGCUGAUCUGCGUGUUGGUGGGGUAGUGGCUUACCAAGGCUUUGACGGGUAGCCGGCCUGAGAGGGCGACAGGCCACAGUGGGAAUGAGCGAGGGCCCAGACGGCGCCGGGGGGCAGCGGGGGGGAGGAUUGCACAAGGGGCGGAAGCGUGAUGCGGGAACGCCGCGGGAGGGAUGAGGGCAGUCGGGUUGUAAACAGCUUUCGCCGGUGAAGAAGAGGGAGUGACGGUAAUGGGUAAAGAAGCACGGGCUAACUACGUG
rnacentral:rRNA from 1 species